rnacentral:lncRNA from 1 species
UUGUGUGUGUGUUUGGUCGAACAACAUCAGGAGCAAAAAGGGGGUUCCCUUCCAAGAACCCUAACUCACGAAAAUUGCCAAAAUCAAAGAGAAAUCGUGCCGGGAAAUUGGGGCUUUUAAUAAAGUCGUGAUCACCAAGCUUAGGGGAUCACAAGUUUAACUCUUGACAAGCUGGAUGGAGGCUUGGGAGGAAGCGGGUCAAACAGAGCGAGUACGAAAAGAAAACGUUGUUUGGAUGCGAGAUAUGAUAGAGGAACGGUCUGAAGUAUGACAAGUGGAGCAUGCUCACCAAGGACUAAAUCGCGUAACGACCGCGAACAAGGUUAAUGGCAAGGAACGCCCGUCGGGGCAAGCAUUACCAGUUUGACUUUUGACAAGCUGGAUGGAGGCUUGGGAGGAAGCGGGUCAAACGGAGCGAGUACGAAAAGAAAACGUUGCUUGGAUGCGAGGUAAGUGAAACUUACACCUUGUUGUAGAAUACUUAAUUAUUCUAUAAGUUAUAAACUCGAUAGGGAUAAUAUUGGAAAUAUGGAUUCCGACGCAAUCAAUACGAGUCGGAACAGAUACAAAAUUGAUAAAAACCAUGAUGAAUGGUAAACAUGAGUAAAAGGUAAUUUAGCCGUGAAUGGCAAACAUAUAAUGAAUCUUGAGAUGUUACCGUAUGGGGUAACUCGUAAUAAGGAUAGGGAUAAAAUGGUAACUUAGUCGCGUGUCGACAAACAAAAGUUAAAGUUAUAAGACACCCUACGGUGUAAGCCGAAAUGGGUUAAAUAACGAAAUGGAAUAUAUAUGUGUAUAUAUAUAUAUAUAUACCAUUCCAAAUACAAAUGCAAAAUGUUUGGUCGUUUAGACCAAACGAGUCAAAGGGUGAUUUUUAGCGCCAUUUGACAAAUAACAACUAAUGAGUAUUGUUGAGUCUAGUGCACACAGGAUAAAAACGGCUUAUGGAAAUUUACACCGCUAUAAAUUAUCGAAAUCAUUAAUGUGAGGUAUUAAACGGGUCAAUACUUGACCCGAGCCAGGUACGCAUGUUUUGUAUUGUAGUUAGAAGCAAUAUUUUGGUCAAUUAUUAGCGAAAGUCCUUUAUCGCAAAAUGAAGGAUUAAAUUUGACCAAAAAGCCCUUGAUGGGUAAAUAGGGCAAACAACCUUAAGAGUUGUUUAGAGAUAUACGUUUUAUUAAAUUAAGUCCUUAUGAUAUGUAUAAAAAAAUUGGAGAUAGGAUGUAAACUAAAAUGAAAGUGAUUCGAAGCUUUAAAGUGCUUAAAUACCCUUAAUGGGUCAAAAUAAGCACUUGAGCGUAAACGGGUUUUUAUUGUGUAAGAAACCCGUGAUUUGAGAUUAAUAUGAUAGGAGAUAUUGAAAUUAUGAAGUUCACGAGUUUAAAGAUCAAACCAACAUGUUUGUUUGAUAAAAUCACAAACGGGUCAAAAUUUGGUAAAAAGGGUAAUAAACCGAAGACUUAAAAGUCUGAAAUUUUGUUAAACCAGAUAUUGGAUAUUAACUCCAUAAGAUGGAGAAUUAAAUUACGGGCGUGUAGGAAAAAGAAUCACGUAAAACGGAUAUGUAGAUUUAAAGUUAUGCACGUUUUCGUAAAAAGAAUCGGAGCUGGAAAAUGCAGCAACAGCUGCAAAAUAUUCUGCCCAGUGAGCUACCGUAAGUUACGGUGGCUACCGUAACUUAUGGUAGAGAUUGAAGUUGUUACGGUGAUUCUGUACUGCCUUACGGCAGCCCCCCCUUAUGCUCAGAGGCUACCGUAGCUUACGGUAGCUACCGUAAGCUACGAUAGAGCCCAAAUUAAUUGACAAACUUUUCAUAUUUGUAGCCAUUCGGAACAGUUUCCGUUUAUUCUUUUUAAUUCUGCCUUUUUCUAAGGAUCCUAAUACACCCUUCGCUAUUGGGUGGUAUUGGUUAAUAAAUUGGCAUAGCGAAAUUGUUUAUAUGAAUCAAGUAACCAUCAUAAAUAAUGUUUAUGGUGGCCGAUUAUAAAAGACAAAGAAGAUGUCUAUUGCGCCCAGUGAGGGGCUUAUUAUCUGGCAAAAUAAAACUAUUCAUCUUGUCCAAUCUUGUAUUCGGACUUGAAUAACACUAUUAGAUCAUGUGAGACUAACUCAUUUCAUGUUUCGUGAAAUGUAGGUUUACUUUUGAAGUGUCGGAUGAUGAUCAAACCCAACGAAGAACCGGACACACGAGAUCAAAGCUUCUGCGAAUAGUUUCGUCGUCACGUUUCAAAUGGCGAAUUAAAUUACAAAAUGUUGGGAUGUUUUAUUUAGUGAAAUGUUUUAACAAACUCGUAUUUUUAAGUGUAUGUUUAAUAUUAUUACACUAUAAUUAAUCGAAAUUU